AGUGAACGCUGGCGGUAGGCCUAACACAUGCAAGUCGAACGGCAGCACAGUAAGAGCUUGCUCUUACGGGUGGCGAGUGGCGGACGGGUGAGGAAUACAUCGGAAUCUACUUUUUCGUGGGGGAUAACGUAGGGAAACUUACGCUAAUACCGCAUACGACCUACGGGUGAAAGCAGGGGAUCUUCGGACCUUGCGCGAUUGAAUGAGCCGAUGUCGGAUUAGCUAGUUGGCGGGGUAAAGGCCCACCAGGGCGACGAUCCGUAGCUGGUCUGAGAGGAUGAUCAGCCACACUGGAACUGAGACACGGUCCAGACUCCUACGGGAGGCAGCAGUGGGGAAUAUUGGACAAUGGGCGCAAGCCUGAUCCAGCCAUACCGCGUGGGUGAAGAAGGCCUUCGGGUUGUAAAGCCCUUUUGUUGGGAAAGAAAAGCAGCAGGUUAAUACCCCGCUGUUCUGACGGUACCCAAAGAAUAAGCACCGGCCAACUUCGUG
rnacentral:rRNA from 1 species